ACUCUCAACAACGGAUAUCUUGGCUCUCGCAACGAUGAAGAACGCAGCGAAAUGCGAUACGUAGUGUGAAUUGCAGAAUUCCGUGAGUCAUCGAAUCUUUGAACGCACAUUGCCGGUCGACUCUUCGGAGGAGACCACAUCGUCGGAAUA
rnacentral:rRNA from 1 species